AUUCGAGCGAUGAUUAAAGAUAGCUUGCUAUUUUUAUGAAGAGCGGCGAACGGGUGAGUAACGCGUGGGAAAUCUGCCGAGUAGCGGGGGACAACGUUUGGAAACGAACGCUAAUACCGCAUAACAAUGAGAAUCGCAUGAUUCUUAUUUGAAAGAAGCAAUUGCUUCACUACUUGAUGAUCCCGCGUUGUAUUAGCUAGUUGGUAGUGUAAAGGACUACCAAGGCGAUGAUACAUAGCCGACCUGAGAGGGUGAUCGGCCACACUGGGACUGAGACACGGCCCAGACUCCUACGGGAGGCAGCAGUAGGGAAUCUUCGGCAAUGGGGGCAACCCUGACCGAGCAACGCCGCGUGAGUGAAGAAGGUUUUCGGAUCGUAAAACUCUGUUGUUAGAGAAGAACGUUAAGUAGAGUGGAAAAUUACUUAAGUGACGGUAUCUAACCAGAAAGGGACGGCUAACUACGUGCCAGCAGCCGCGGUAAUACGUAGGUCCCAAGCGUUGUCCGGAUUUAUUGGGCGUAAAGCGAGCGCAGGUGGUUUCUUAAGUCUGAUGUAAAAGGCAGUGGCUCAACCAUUGUGUGCAUUGGAAACUGGGAGACUUGAGUGCAGGAGAGGAGAGUGGAAUUCCAUGUGUAGCGGUGAAAUGCGUAGAUAUAUGGAGGAACACCGGAGGCGAAAGCGGCUCUCUGGCCUGUAACUGACACUGAGGCUCGAAAGC
rnacentral:rRNA from 1 species